rnacentral:misc_RNA from 1 species
CCGAGUACCGGGUCUUCUAGGCCCUUACUCCCACCCUUUGUGUACCAAACCUCUGUUCGUUGCCUCGGCGGGGUCGAUCCCAUUAGGGGGACUCGCCGGGGGGACACCACUAAACUCUUGUCAACGGUGGAGUCUGAGAAAACAUAUAAACUAGUCA